rnacentral:rRNA from 1 species
AGCAGCCGCGGUAAUUCCAGCUCCAAUAGCGUAUAUUAAAGUUGCUGCAGUUAAAAAGCUCGUAGUUGAACUUCGGGAUCAAUGAAUCGGUCAUGCUUUCGUAUGUACUGGUUUUAUUGGUUCUCACCUUCUAAGGAACCUUAAUGUCAUUUAUUUGAUGUUAUGGGGAAUUAGGACUGUUACCUUGAAAAAUUAGAGUGUUUAAAGCAGGCUAACGCUUGAAUACAUUAGCAUGGAAUAAUGAAAUAGGACAUCGCAUUCUAUUUUGUUGGUUUUUAGGAUCGAUGUAAUGAUUAAUAGGGAUAGUUGGGGGCAUUAGUAUUCAAUUGUCAGAGGUGAAAUUCUUGGAUUUAUUGAAGACUAACUACUGCGAAAGCAUUUGCCAAGGAUGUUUUCAUUAAUCAAGAACGAAAGUUAGGGGAUCGAAGACGAUCAGAUACCGUCGUAGUCUUAACCAUAAACUAUGCCGACUAGGGAUCGGAUGAUGUUGAUUUUUUAAUGACUCAUUCGG